AGCCUGAUGCAGCACGCCGCGUGAGCGAUGAAGGCCUUCGGGUCGUAAAGCUCUGUCCUCAAGGAAGAUAAUGACGGUACUUGAGGAGGAAGCCCCGGCUAACUAC
rnacentral:rRNA from 1 species